AUUGAACGCUGGCGGCAUGCCUUACACAUGCAAGUCGAACGGUAACAGGUCUUCGGAUGCUGACGAGUGGCGAACGGGUGAGUAAUACAUCGGAACGUGCCUAGUAGUGGGGGAUAACUACUCGAAAGAGUGGCUAAUACCGCAUGAGAUCUACGGAUGAAAGCAGGGGAUCGCAAGACCUUGUGCUACUAGAGCGGCUGAUGGCAGAUUAGGUAGUUGGUGGGAUAAAAGCUUACCAAGCCGACGAUCUGUAGCUGGUCUGAGAGGACGAUCAGCCACACUGGGACGGAGACACGGACCAGACUCCUACGGGAGGCAGCAGUGGGGAAUUUUGGACAAUGGGCGAAAGCCUGAUCCAGCAAUGCCGCGUGCAGGAUGAAGGCCUUCGGGUUGUAAACUGCUUUUGUACGGAACGAAAAGCCCCGGGUUAAUACCCUGGGGUCAUGACGGUACCGUAAGAAUAAGCACCGGCUAACUACGUGCCAGCAGCCGCCGUAA
rnacentral:rRNA from 1 species